UACCGAGGUCUCAAGCGUUGUUCGGAUUCAUUGGGCGUAAAGGGUGCGUAGGUGGCGCGGUAAGUCGGGUGUGAAAUUUCGGAGCUUAACUCCGAAACUGCAUUCGAUACUGCCGUGCUUGAGGACUGGAGAGGAGACUGGAAUUACGGUGUAGCAGUGAAAUGCGUAGAGAUCGUAAGGAAGACCAGUGGCGAAGGCGGGUCUCUGGACAGUUCCUGACACUGAGGCACGAAGGCCAGGGGAGCAAACGGG
rnacentral:rRNA from 1 species